rnacentral:rRNA from 1 species
AAAUUGAAGAGUUUGAUCAUGGCUCAGAUUGAACGCUGGCGGCAGGCCUAACACAUGCAAGUCGAACGGUAACAGGAAGCAGCUUGCUGCUUUGCUGACGAGUGGCGGACGGGUGAGUAAUGUCUGGGAAACUGCCUGAUGGAGGGGGAUAACUACUGGAAACGGUGGCUAAUACCGCAUAACGUCGCAAGACCAAAGAGGGGGACCUUCGGGCCUCUUGCCAUCAGAUGUGCCCAGAUGGGAUUAGCUUGUUGGUGAGGUAACGGCUCACCAAGGCGACGAUCCCUAGCUGGUCUGAGAGGAUGGCCAGCCACACUGGAACUGAGACACGGUCCAGACUCCUACGGGAGGCAGCAGUGGGGAAUAUUGCACAAUGGGCGCAAGCCUGAUGCAGCCAUGCCGCGUGUAUGAAGAAGGCCUUCGGGUUGUAAAGUACUUUCAGCGGGGAGGAAGGUGUUGUGGUUAAUAACCACAGCAAUUGACGUUACCCGCAGAAGAAGCACCGGCUAACUCCGUGCCAGCAGCCGCGGUAAUACGGAGGGUGCAAGCGUUAAUCGGAAUUACUGGGCGUAAAGCGCACGCAGGCGGUCUGUCAAGUCGGAUGUGAAAUCCCCGGGCUCAACCUGGGAACUGCAUUCGAAACUGGCAGGCUUGAGUCUUGUAGAGGGGGGUAGAAUUCCAGGUGUAGCGGUGAAAUGCGUAGAGAUCUGGAGGAAUACCGGUGGCGAAGGCGGCCCCCUGGACAAAGACUGACGCUCAGGUGCGAAAGCGUGGGGAGCAAACAGGAUUAGAUACCCUGGUAGUCCACGCCGUAAACGAUGUCUACUUGGAGGUUGUGCCCUUGAGGCGUGGCUUCCGGAGCUAACGCGUUAAGUAGACCGCCUGGGGAGUACGGCCGCAAGGUUAAAACUCAAAUGAAUUGACGGGGGCCCGCACAAGCGGUGGAGCAUGUGGUUUAAUUCGAUGCAACGCGAAGAACCUUACCUGGUCUUGACAUCCACAGAAGAAUCCAGAGAUGGAUUUGUGCCUUCGGGAACUGUGAGACAGGUGCUGCAUGGCUGUCGUCAGCUCGUGUUGUGAAAUGUUGGGUUAAGUCCCGCAACGAGCGCAACCCUUAUCCUUUGUUGCCAGCGAUUAGGUCGGGAACUCAAAGGAGACUGCCAGUGAUAAACUGGAGGAAGGUGGGGAUGACGUCAAGUCAUCAUGGCCCUUACGACCAGGGCUACACACGUGCUACAAUGGCGCAUACAAAGAGAAGCGACCUCGCGAGAGCAAGCGGACCUCAUAAAGUGCGUCGUAGUCCGGAUUGGAGUCUGCAACUCGACUCCAUGAAGUCGGAAUCGCUAGUAAUCGUGGAUCAGAAUGCCACGGUGAAUACGUUCCCGGGCCUUGUACACACCGCCCGUCACACCAUGGGAGUGGGUUGCAAAAGAAGUAGGUAGCUUAACCUUCGGGAGGGCGCUUACCACUUUGUGAUUCAUGACUGGGGUGAAGUCGUAACAAGGUAACCGUAGGGGAACCUGCGGUUGGAUCACCUCCUUA